rnacentral:lncRNA from 1 species
AUGAAGAAAGUCUUCUACACCAGGCAGUGCCCUGAGUUUGCCUUGCUCCCUGUAGUCUUUCUCUCUCAUGAUUCUGGUGUGAGAUCUGCCUCAGUCUGCUUCAACUGUUACUUUGAAGACAGAAGCACAUAUCCUUCACCCAGACUUCUCCUCCAAGCUCCGUUGCUGCAGGAUAUCACUGGUGUAAUGGGUGGAAAUUCCCUGCACAGACUGCCAAAGACUGCACUUUUGUGUGGAGAGAAGCAAGGCCAUGAGGUGGAAGGACUGAUUUCCUCUGGGAGCACAUUGCAGUGGUACACCCGCUGUCAUAGGACACUGCAUUUUGAAGCUAUUAUAAAUAGAUAAUGCUUACAUAUUGCUCUUUACAUUUACAGUGACCCACAGGCCAUACCUAAUUACACAAUUGCAGCAGCCUUGCAAGGCAGGGCAGUUAGGAUCAUCUUCCUUUAGAAACGAAAUGGAGGCAAUGGUAUUAAAAUGCAUGACCAGGGUUAGAGAUGAGGGGUCAGUGAGAAAGCCAAGGUUGAAACAUCAGACUUACAUAUUCCCAGUCCUGUGCUUAACAUGUGUCUCAGGCAAAGAAAUUGAUGUUAAUGAUGUACUAACCCCUUUCAUCUGAAGAUCUCAAAAUGUUUUAUGUCCUGAUUUGCUUUCCCCAUGCAGCUUUAUUGUAGGCUUAUGGUUGUCCAGAGGGGAAAAGUGCAGGCUUCUCUGUGCUGUGUGUGUAUCCGUAUGGCCUCCAGCUCCCCGCAGGGAGGAGGUGGCAGGGGUUAGUCACUGCUCUCACUGGGGAGGGAGCUGGGCAACUGCGACAAAGGAACAACAGAGCCAUUGGAGCCAUUGAGGGAAGGUGGGCUGUAAGAAGGAGGCUGGGUAUGGGUUGGUUGGCAGCAUGUAGCAUGACAGGGGCUCAUAUGACAGCCCCUGGGCAGGGCUGGAGCUAGGCCAUGUGGUAUGGGGUCAUUAAGAUGCAAAGGGUGUCUGGAGACAUUGCAGGAGGGUCCGUGCAGGGAGGAGACUGCAGGACACAAGGUAGAUAGGCACUCUUCAGGGAGAGCUGGAUACAGGAGUUGGAUAAGAGGAAAAUAAAAGAUCAUCCUCGUUGUUUUCCUUCA